AAUUUCACCAUCCUCACCUCCCCACAGCACAUCUGAGGCCCAUCUGGAGAAUGGUUACCAGAGGCUGGGAAGGGUAGUGGGAGAUUGAGGGGAGGUGGGGAUAGUUGAACUCUCGUGAGUUCAAUUGUUUUCAUUUUUAGAGCCCACAAAUAACUAAGAACAUGCAAUGUUUGUCUUUCUGUUCCUGGCUUAUUUCGCUUAACAUAAUGAUCUUCAGCUUCAUCCAUGAAGUCCUGCAACAUUUUCGGUGCCCAAUGUGGGGCUCAAAAAGCGGCCAUCAGACUCCAAACAGUUAUGCAACUGGAGCCUCCUGAGGAUGACCCCUUCUGCCUGGGACCCUUAGAUCAGCCUCUAGAGAAGCUUUGACUGCUGUUUCCCCAAAACAGCACCCCCUGCCAUCAGGAAGCAGAGAACAAGAAGAUUUAUACUAGCCAUGCAAGGAAUCUUUGGAAGUCUAACAGACCUGACUUGAAGAGAAGGCUUUAAACAAGAAAUUCUUCAUUCUGGAACAGUGAUUCUUAAAGUGCGGUUCAGAGACCCUGGGAGACACUGACAUUCUUUCAGAGUGUGAGUGAGGAUUUCCUCUUUGCAACUACAAUCUGUGUAAGGUUGGAUUUUCUUUACAUACAUAAACUAAAAUAAGAUUGCAAUAAGAUGAAUGCAGAAGCAGAUAAGAGAAUCCAGCUGUCUUAAGUUAGACUUCACAGAGAUUUGCAAAAAUCCAAACAAGACCACUCUCGUCAUUAAAGUUAUUUUCCAUUUGUUAUGGUGAACUUAUUUUGCAGGAAAUU
rnacentral:lncRNA from 10 species